rnacentral:rRNA from 1 species
CCUACGGGUGGCAGCAGUGAGGAAUAUUGGUCAAUGGAGGCAACUCUGAACCAGCGAAGUAGCGUGCAGGAUGACGGCCCUAUGGGUUGUAAACUGCUUUUAUACGGGAGUAAACUGCGUUACGUGUGACUUAUUGCAGGUACCGCUUGAAUACGGACCGGCUAAUUCCGUGCCAGCAGCCGCGGUAAUACGGAAGGUCCGGGUGUUAUCCGGAUUUAGUGGGUUUAAAGGGAGCGAAGGCGGCCCCUUAAGCGUGAUGUGAAAGGCCCCGGCUCAACCGUGGCACUGCAGCGCGAACUGGGGGGCUAGAGUGCGGCGGAGGGAGGCGGAAUUCGUGGUGUAGCGGUGAAAUGCUUAGAUAUUAGGAAGAACACCGAUUGCGAAGGCAGCUUGCUGGAGCGUAACUGACGCUGAGGCUCGAAGGUGUGGGUAGCGAACAGGAUUAGAUACCCCAGUAGUC